GAUGAACGCUAGCUACAGGCUUAACACAUGCAAGUCGAGGGGAAACGAUAUUGGAAGCUUGCUUCCGAUAGGCGUCGACCGGCGCACGGGUGAGUAACGCGUAUCCAACCUGCCCACCACUUGGGGAUAACCUUGCGAAAGUAAGACUAAUACCCAAUGAUAUCCAUAGAAGACAUCUGAAAUGGAUUAAAGAUUUAUCGGUGAUGGAUGGGGAUGCGUCUGAUUAGCUUGUUGGCGGGGUAACGGCCCACCAAGGUGACGAUCAGUAGGGGUUCUGAGAGGAAGGUCCCCCACAUUGGAACUGAGACACGGUCCAAACUCCUACGGGAGGCAGCAGUGAGGAAUAUUGGUCAAUGGGCGAGAGCCUGAACCAGCCAAGUAGCGUGCAGGAUGACGGCCCUAUGGGUUGUAAACUGCUUUUAUAAGGGAAUAAAGUGGGAGUCGUGACUCCUUUUGCAUGUACCUUAUGAAUAAGGACCGGCUAAUUCCGUGCCAGCAGCCGCCGUAACAC
rnacentral:rRNA from 1 species